rnacentral:rRNA from 1 species
UAGUUAGGCUUUCGGGGGAUACUGCCAGACUUGGAACCGGGGAGAGGUAAGAGGUACUACAGGGGUAGGAGUGAAAUCUUGUAAUCCCUGUGGGGACCACCUGUGGCGAAGGCGUCUUACCAGAACGGGUUCGACGGUGAGGGACGAAAGCUGGGGGCACGAACCGGAUUAGAUACCCGGGUAGUCCCAGCCGUAAACGAUGCUCGCUAGGUGUCAGGCAUGGCGCGACCGUGUCUGGUGCCGCAGGGAAGCCGUGAAGCGAGCCGACCUGGGAAGUACGGCCGCAAGGCUGAAACUUAAAGGAAUUGGCGGGGGAGCACAACAACGGGGUUGGAGCCUGCGGUUUAAUUGGGACUCAACGCCGGUACAACUCAACCGGGGGCGACAGCAAUAUGUAGGCCAAGCUGAAGACUUUGCCUGAAUCGCUGAGGGGAGGUGCAUGG